rnacentral:tRNA from 1 species
GCGGGUGUAGUUCAGUGGUAGAACUUCAGCCUUCCAAGCUGAUCGCGAGGGUUCGAUUCCCUUCACCCGCUCCA